UUUAUGGAGAGUUUGAUCCUGGCUCAGGAUGAACGCUGGCGGCGUGCCUAAUACAUGCAAGUCGAGCGAACAGAUAAGGAGCUUGCUCCUUUGACGUUAGCGGCGGACGGGUGAGUAACACGUGGGUAACCUACCUAUAAGACUGGAAUAACUCCGGGAAACCGGGG
rnacentral:rRNA from 1 species